rnacentral:rRNA from 1 species
UACGUAGGGGGCAAGCGUUGUCCGGAUUUAUUGGGCGUAAAGAGCGUGUAGGCGGUCUGAUAGGUCCGUUGUGAAAACUCGAGGCUCAACCUCGAGACGCCGAUGGAAACCAUCAGACUAGAGUCCGGAAGAGGAGAGUGGAAUUCCUGGUGUAGCGGUGAAAUCCGUAAAUAUACGAAGGAACGCCAAAAGCGAAGGCAGCUCUCUGGGUCCCUACCGACGCUGGGGUGCGAAAGCAUGGGGAGCGAACAGG